rnacentral:rRNA from 1 species
AACGAACGCUGGCGGCAGGCUUAACACAUGCAAGUCGAACGAUCUCUUCGGAGAUAGUGGCAGACGGGUGAGUAACGCGUGGGAACCUACCUUAUUCUACGGAAUAACACAGAGAAAUUUGUGCUAAUACCGUAUACGCCCUUUGGGGGAAAGAUUUAUCGGAGUAAGAUGGGCCCGCGUUGGAUUAGCUAGUUGGUGGGGUAAUGGCCUACCAAGGCGACGAUCUAUAGCUGGUCUGAGAGGAUGAUCAGCCACACUGGGACUGAGACACGGCCCAGACUCCUACGGGAGGCAGCAGUGGGGAAUCUUAGACAAUGGGGGCAACCCUGAUCUAGCCAUGCCGCGUGAGUGACGAAGGCCCUAGGGUCGUAAAGCUCUUUCGCCAGGGAUGAUAAUGACAGUACCUGGUAAAGAACCCCCGG